CAGUUCCCCUGUCAGCUGUCCAAAAUGGGAAGGCAGGAUGUGAUUGAUGGAGCAUGAUGCUUCUCCAGUAUGCUACGCUGACCUGGAGUCAGUUCCUCUGAGGCUGCCUGGAAAGGAGGUUCUGUCUGACUCCAGCACAGCUCAGAGACAUAUUGGAAUCUCAGAGGUCCACUGAAUUCGGUCAGUGUGGUUCAAAUGGAAAAAGAUAUCUCAGAUUCAGCACAGAAAAAGGUCCUUUGCAGUACAGUAAUGCCCUGUCCUUUCUCUACCGCCUCAGUCAAUAAAGAGUGGCAAAAGCUUCUAUAAAGUCACUAAAAGUGGAAAACACAUUAAUCAACCAAAUUGACCAGCAUGUCGUGCUCGGCAGGUCCACAUCACACGUCUGCUCUCUCAUCUGGGGUUGUCAUCUGUAAUAUCCCCCCGGCACACUGACCGACGCUGAUAUCCACCCAUCAGUCCGGAGCAAAUGGCUUGUGCAUCACAGGCACAGUGCGGAGAGCGUGCAGUGAGGAGAAAUAUGUUCACUUUCACUCUUUGCUGUCCUCAGCAGCCACCUUAUCAGAUCAAACAGCUGAGAAACACAGCUAUGACUCAGUGACCACAGUGUGUCUGUAUGUGUUUAUGUGUGUGUGUGUGAGUGUGUGUUUGGGGGGGGGGGUCUAUCUGCUUCCUGGGGCCCUGGAAACAUAUUGGUUACGUUAGAUAUGGGAAUGCACACUUCCCCACACAGACACACACACACACACCAACGUAUACUUUGAAGAACGAACACACACACCUAACAGAGUCAGAUAUGCCAAUACCGCAUGGAUCAGCGGUGCCUUAUCCUGCUUUGUCCAACAGCAGCUCGGCGUCAGAUAUCAUAUUACUGACUGACUCCAGAGACAUUCGCGAGGUCAGUGGAUCAGAACUUGAUCGAUACUGGGAAAGGAGAUACAGGAGGUUAUAUUAAAGUGGACAGAAUUAAAUUAAAUUGGAAAAUACAACUGAAAGGCACAUAAAACCUCCAUUUCCCCCUCAGUGACCGGUCUGUACCUGCAGAUUCUCUUUCUCUCUUGCCUUUCACUACCAUGCACUAAACAUAGCAGACUUUGUGGAGCAGUGUAUGGCACAGAAAACAGAACUUUAUAUAAUAAACGUCAGUAUUCAACACUGAUAUCAACAUUUUAGAAUCAUGAACAUGGGUGUGUAUAAUACUAGUGUAUGUUAUGUAUGGCUUGUUAAGUAAUAAACUAUUAUUUCUUUUAUAUAACAAUUUUUAUACAGGUCGAAGAUGAAACAUUUAAUUUUGGUGUCUAAAUAAAUUAAUCAAAUUAAAAUGAAAAAAAAAAAAUCUAUCAAAUUAAAAUGACAAUG
rnacentral:lncRNA from 1 species